UUAUUCAUUUACCAUGAUAAACUUAUUAAUUGUCUUGUCAUUAUCAAACACCAAUAAUCCAGAAAAAUCCUCGGUCUUCCACCCUUUCCUCUAUCAACUACCGUUAGCUCUUUUUCAAUAACCUAAUGUCAAUGAAGGCUAUGGUGGUAAGGCGGAAGGCAUGGUUUUAGUUCUUCAUAUUUGACUCUCAGCUUUUCUUGAUUACACCUUUUUGGCCUUGGCAUUUUUUAAAACCCCGAUGGAAGAAUGGAGGAAUUAAUUUGCGUUACAUUGGUACCCACCCAUUGAUUCAUGUGUAAUAGGAUCUCAGCAUUCUGCUUUUCGUUAGCAGGGAGACAACUUCAAUGAUUCCAAAGUUAGAAGGAAAAAACAUUUGAAAGGUUACGAGGUAGGUAAAAUAUUACUUAUGAAAUGUCGUCUUUAUAUAAAUUUAUUAUCCUCAUUUUGAAAUUUUUAUUUGGAGUAGAACAUCAUAUGUGAUCCGUUUUUCAAUAAUGCAAAUCACAAAAUUGAAAAUAAAGGUAUAUGUAUGAAUCUAAACUCUUUGUGAAGAAUAAUUUUCUAAUUUACAAUGUCAUUUAUUCUCUUCAAACGGCUAUUGUUUCAACCGUAGAUAAUCCAAUAAGAAGUUUGGUGGAGUUUCGAUGAUAGUUGCUAUAUAUAAUCCUCGUAGUCAACAAUAUAGUUUUAUAGGUUUAGAAUAUAAUUUGCUGUUAAGAUUUUAACUUGUCAGAAGGCUGAAAAGGAUUUACCCGCUGAUAUUACUAAGCAAGAUAUACAAGGCUCAUCACCCCCUGAAACAGUGGUGUCUACAAUCAAACCUUAAGCACGCAAUGCAACUUUAGCAGCACAUAGUAACGUUAUUAAUGCCAGUGGGCACAUUCUCGACAAAGACGGUGAGCAUAUUAAUCUAUCUAUUGUGUUAGAAUUCGACACUUUUAUUAUGGUCUAGCCAGAAAUAGCCAUCCCACAACCCCAGGAUUUUCUAUCAAAGCAAGAGGCUAAUAAGAUUCUUGCCUAUUGUGAAAAAGAUAUGUGUCAGUCAAGUGAUGGGAGUGUUAUCAAGCAUAAGCAUAGUAGCUACAACCUAAGGUCAAAUAUGAUACCUAAGAAUAUGAAUGAAAAGUCAGUCCCUGUUGGCGCUACUCAGGUAUCUAAGGGUCCUAAUGAUGUUAUUAUUAAUAAUGUUCCAUCAACUGAGGCUUAUGAAGUUGGCUUAAAUAUUGUAUUAGACAUUGUUAAUAAUGCAAGGUUGCAAUCGAGUAUUCCUUGCGUCUGAUAAGGAAAUGCAAUACAACCAACAAGAACAAGUACAAGUUUAAUGUUAUGCUGCAGUCAAACCUCAAGCACGUAAUCCAACUUUAGCAGCACACAAUAACGUUAUUGAUGCCAGUGGGUGCAUUCUCGACAAAGACAGUGAGCAUAUUAAUCCACCUGUUGUGUUAGAAUUUGACACUUUUAUUAUGGUCCAGCCAGAAAUAGUCAUCCCACAACCCCAGGUUUUUCUAUUAAAGCAAGAGGCCAAUAAGAUUUUUGCCUCUUGUGUAAAAUAUAUUUGUCAAUCAAGUGAUGGGAGUGUCAUCAAGCAUAAGCGUAGUAGCUACAACAUAAGGCCAAAUAUGACACAUAAGAAUAUGAAUGAAAAGUCAGCCUUUGUGGCACUACUCAGGUAUCUAAGGGUCCUAAUGAUGUUAUUAUUAAUAAUGUUACAUCAACUGAGGCUCAUAAAGUUGGCUUAAAUGUUGUAUCAGACAUUAUCAAUAAUGCUAAGGUUGCGGUCGAGUAUUCCUCGCAGCCAAUAAGGAAAUACAACAGAACCAACAAGAACAAGCACAAGUUUGAUGUUGUUCUACCUCCCUCU